rnacentral:rRNA from 1 species
AGUGAACGCUGGCGGUAUGCCUAACACAUGCAAGUCGAACGGCAGCACAGUAAUACCUUGCCCUUACGGGUGGCGAGUGGCGGACGGGCGUGGAAUACAUCGGAAUCUACUUUUUCGUGGGGGCUAACGCAGGGAAACUUACGCUAAUACCGCAUACGACCUACUGGUGAAAGCAGGGGAUCUUCAGACUUCGCGCGAUUCUAUGAGCCUAUGUCGGAUUAGCUAGGUGGCGGGGUAAAGGCCCAGCAAGGCGACGGUCCGGAGCCGGUCUGAGAGGGUGAUGAGCCACACUUGAGCGGAGAGACGGUCCAGAGGCGAACGAGAGGCAGCAGUGACGAAUAUUGGACGAUGGGCGCGAGCAUGAUCCAGCCAUAGCGCGUGGGUGAAGAAGGACUUCGGGUUGUACAGCCCUGUUGUUGGGAAAGAAAAGCAGCAGGUUAAGACACGGCUGUUAUGGCGGUACCCAAAGAAGAAGCACCGGCUAACUUCGUG